AAGCAUGCUAUACAGGUUUUCUUUAAACUAUGUAUACAAAUGUAUAUUUUUAUCUACUAAUAUGUUGGGUAGAACAUGGGUAGACAGUUGGUGUGUAAUAAACAGAUGAGAGGCCUCGUUGUUGUUUGAUUGAGUCAUCUAGCGGAGUUUAGAUGACGACCACUGGCUAUUCUAGACAGUCUUGUGGAAACAUUAGCAGGUUCGCCACCUGUAGGUGUUAAUGAACUUGGGUGUUCAUUCGCUGUACUCCAUCCCCCUCAUGGUUGCCUUAUUUGACUUAUAUUGCUGAGGUACCCCCGAAGCAUGUGUUGUCGCCCCGAUGAAAUAUUCUUAGACUAGGUCCCUUAUGUUAGUUGUUUUAGGGACAUUAAAGUGAGAAUAACGGGAAUGGGUAAUUGGGUUAUUGUUGGUUGGUGAAAAUUAAAUAUGAUAUUUAUUGUGGGUUGAAAACCCUAUAUGCUCACCAGGCUCCCAAGCCUGACCCACUCAGUUUUAAAUUGUAUUACAGGUAGUGGCGGAAGGGCAUGAGAUGGAUGAACCAUCAAGUUGUUUUGUUUACAAGUCUGCAUAUGUUUAUAUUUGUUAUAUGACUUGUAAUGUAUUCGUUUAUGCUUAUUGGUCUGUAUCGGAACAUGACACCCCGAGUUUUGAUUAUAAUGAAAAUACAUUUCUUUUAUGAAAUGCUUCGGUAAACAAUGUUUUAUCAUGUUUUGUUUUUGGGAACAAAUUCCGCAACUCUUUCAAAUCAAAAGGAUUUACUCUGAAAAUAUUUAAAAGCAUAAAUGAAAAUCGGUCUUUUCUGGCCGAGAUUUUGGGGAUGUCACAGUUGGUAUCAGAGCAUUAGUUUAAGCGAACUAGGAAUUUGUAGGAUUUCUAGACUUAAACUUAGAAUGCUAAGUGAAGUUUUGAGAUGUGUGUCUGUUGUGAUUUAGACACGAGCACUAGUUUAUUUUAGGAAAGUUGCCUAAAAUGCUUUAUGUGCUAAAUGUUAUAUGUUGCCAUAUAUGAUAUUAUUUGUUCGGAUCUAUGGUCUGUUGCCGACCGGAUCUAGAAACCUUAUGUGUGUAGGAUUCUAAGCGUACGUCUACGAUAUUAGAACUAGCAUGUAAACGUUUCGGAGUGAUAAGGAUGAUUUGAAUAUCUAUCAUGAUUGAGGAUCUAAUUUCACCUUAUUCGGUGUAGAUCAAAAUGGUGAGAACAAGAAGUGGAGUUGGAAAUGCUGACGAAAACAGGAAUCAACCACCAGUGAUUGAGCCAAUACCUGUCGUAGCAGCAGCACCUGAGCCAAUAACCAUGGCUGGUGUGCAAUUGAUGAUUCAGACGAUGUUGGAUCGUCAGAUGGAUGAAACUAGACGGUUGCUUCAACAAAAUCGUGAAGAACUGUCGAUUCGUGUGGAAGAGCCUGAACUGAAUGAAGGGCACUCGGAAGGUGGAAACUUCAGUGGGUCUGUUGGUCCAGCCAACCCACCGAUAGUUAGGCAAGAUAACCAUGAUGGAAGGAAUGAUGGAAUGGGAUGCAAGUACAAGGACUUUUUGACUUGUAAACCAUCGACCUUCAAUGGAAAGGAGGAUCCGAUUGGGGUUAUGGAUUGGAUCUCCGAAAUGGAGUUAGCCUUUAUGACAUGUGGCUGUAGAGGCAAGUUGCAGACUAUCUAUGCCGUGCGACAAUUCCGAGGUGGAGCCGUUCGUUGGUGGAACACUCUAGGGAAGACCUUAAGCCCUAAUGAGCCACUGCAAUUGUCAUGGGCAGAGUUCUUGGUGCAGUUCAAGCGCAAGUUCUGCUCGGCUCAAAAUCUGUUGGAGUUGGAGAACAAGUUUUUGACAUUGACGAAGGGUAGCAUGUCAGUGGAUGAGUACACCAAUAACUUCACCGAUAAGAUGGAGUUUGCCUUGCGUAUCGUUCCAGACGAGCUGACAAAGGUGGAUCGGUAUGCGAAGGGACUUCCAUGGGAGUACGAGGUGCCGGUACGUCAGGCACUUACUCUAGAGGCAGCUAUCUGGGCUGCCAAGUCUGUGGAGAACAUGAUCAAGGGGAGAACCACCGUCAAGGUUGAGGUUGGUGAGAAAAGGAAGUUUGAAGGAACAUCUGGUUCCAGUAAGAAGAGCAAAUUUUCGAAAUCUGAUUCGAAAAAGUUUGGAGGAAAAGGAGGCGAAGCAAAGUGGUGUGAUAAGUGUAAGAAAAAGCACUUUGGGAAAUGUAGCGAGGAUGUGACCUGCUACAAGUGUGGAAAGGUUGGACAUUUUGCCAAUGAAUGUCCGAACAACAAAAGGAUGUGUUUUGGGUGUAAUGAAGAGGGGCAUAUUUUGAAAGACUGUCCGAAGAAGAAGGAGGCAGCUAGGCCCAACAUUCCACCAAAGCCGAAGGCGAGAGCCUUCCAGAUGACACUUGAGGCUGCGAAAGAUGAAGCUGAUGUCGCUUCAGGUACCUUUCUCGUAAACGAAUUACCUGCUCAUAUAUUGUUUGAUUCUGGAGCCAACUACUCCUUUAUUUCGCAUGAGUUUGGUAGAAAGCUAGCUUUGCCUGUUGAUAGACUAGAUAAUGCUUUAUUAGUCGAAGUAGCUAGUGGCAAGUUUGUACCUGUUAGCCAUCGUAUGAAAAACGUCUUGAUCGACCUUAAUGGGAAUAAGUUUCUCGAGGAAUUAUUGCCUAUCGAACUAAAUGGUUUCGACAUCGUCUUGGGAAUGGAUUGGCUUAGCGCCAAUGAUGCCGAAAUUUUGUGCAAGAAGAAGAUAGUUAAAGUAAACCCGCCUGGGAAAGAUUCGUUUAUGGUGUAUGGGGACAAACGCAGAGUGAAUUCUGGAAUCAUUUCUCUAAUGAAAGCCAGAAAGUGUUUGACCAAGGGAUGUACAUCAUAUUUAGCAUUCGUGAUUGAUGCUAAGAAAGAAAAGAAGGUGAUGCAGAGCAUUCCAGUGGUGUGUGAUUAUCCGGAAGUAUUUCCCGAGGAUCUUCCUGGAUUACCACCUGAUAGACAAGUGGAGUUCAGAAUAGACUUGUUACCAGGAACCACGCCAAUAGCAAAAGCACCUUAUCGAUUAGCACCGACGGAGAUGAAGGAGCUGAUGAUGCAACUUCAGGAGUUAUUGGACAAAGGUUUCAUUAGACCUAGUUCAUCGCCCUGGGGAGCUCCGGUGUUAUUUGUAAAGAAGAAAGAUGGAAGUAUGAGAAUGUGCAUCGAUUACAGAGAGCUGAACAAGGCAACAAUAAAGAAUAGAUAUCCGUUGCCGAGGAUUGAUGACCUGUUUGAUCAAUUGCAAGGUUCGAGCUAUUUCUCGAAGAUCGAUCUUAGGUCAGGAUAUCAUCAGCUGAAAGUAAGAGAGCAAGAUAUCGAGAAGACUGCAUUCAGAACUAGAUAUGGACACUACGAGUUCUUGGUUAUGUCGUUUGGACUAACCAAUGCUCCAGCAGCGUUCAUGGAUUUGAUGAAUAGGGUUUGUAAUCCUUUCCUUGAUAAAUCCGUGAUAGUGUUCAUAGACGACAUUCUGAUCUACUCGAAAAGCCAGGAGGAGCAUGGCAGACACUUGCGAGAAGUGUUAGAAGUUUUGAAGAAGGAGAAGCUUUAUGCGAAGUUCUCCAAAUGUGAUUUUUGGAUUCGUGAGGUCCAAUUCUUGGGUCACGUGGUCAACCAAGAAGGGAUAAUGGUUGAUCCAGCGAAGAUCGAAGCUGUGACGAAGUGGGAACAACCGAAAAGUCCCACGGAGAUUCGAAGCUUUUUAGGAUUAGCCGGAUAUUACCGAAGGUUUAUCCAAGGCUUUUCUUCGAUUGCUACUCCAUUAACAGCUUUGACCCACAAAGGAGCUACUUAUGCUUGGAGUGAGAAGCAUAAAGAAGCAUUCGAGAAGUUAAAGAAGAAGCUAUGCGAGGCACCGAUACUUUCUCUACCCGAUGGAGUUGAAGACUUCGCUGUUUAUAGCGAUGCGUCUGGUGUUGGAUUGGGUUGUGUUUUGACCCAAAGAGAAAAGGUGAUAGCAUAUGCGUCUCGACAGCUGAAAGAGCAUGAAAAGAAUUACCCGACUCAUGAUUUGGAGUUGGCAGCGGUAGUUUUCGCUCUGAAAAUAUGGAGGCAUUACCUCUAUGGCACGAAGUGCAAACUUUUCACUGAUCAUAAGAGUCUCCAAUACCUCUUUAAUCAGAAAGAAUUGAAUAUGAGGCAACGACGCUGGCUAGAAUUACUUAAAGACUACGACUGCGAGAUACUUUACCACCCCGGUAAAGCUAAUGUUGUUGCUGAUGCUCUCAGUCGGAAAGUCAAUCUUGAAAGGAAGAGGCCAAGAGCGUUGAGAAUUGAAGUUGUCUCGACUAUUGUGGAAAGUAUAAAGAAAGCUCAAGAGGAAGCUUCUGAGAAAAAUGACCGAAAGGAGGAACGUUUGGGUAAAACGUUGGUGUUUGGUACUAACGGUCAUGGACUGAAGGUAUUCCAAGAUCGUAUUUGGGUACCUAAGUCAGGAGGAAUUAGGGAUCUUCUGAUGGAAGAAGCUCACAAAACCAUGUACUCAAUUCAUCCGGGUAGCACUAAAAUGUAUAGGGACCUGAAACCCUACUACUGGUGGCCGACGAUGAAGCUUGAUGUUGCAAAGUAUGUGGCCGAGUGUGUGACUUGUGCGAGAGUCAAGACACAACAUCAGAAACCUUACGGGAGUUUAGAACCAUUGCCUGUGCCUAUGGGUAAGUGGGAAGACAUUGCUAUGGAUUUUGUCACUAAACUGCCCAGAACAAAGAAUGGUCACGACAUGAUUUGGGUGGUCGUUGAUCGAUUCACUAAGAGUGCGCAUUUCAUAGCGGCCAGGGAGAAAUGGUCUAUGGAAAAGCUUGCGAAUUCUUACGUGAAGGAAAUUGUGAGGCUUCACGGUGUUCCGUUAACGAUUGUAUCGGAUCGUGAUAGCCGUUUCACCUCAAGGUUUUGGAAAAGUCUACAAGAGGAAAUGGGUACCAAGUUAUGUUUAAGCACAGCUUACCAUCCGCAGACUGAUGGUCAGAGUGAAAGAACAAUACAAACACUUGAAGAUAUGCUGAGAGCAUGUACCUUGGAAUUCCUAGGUAAUUGGGAUGAACAUUUACCGUUGGUAGAAUUUUCCUAUAAUAAUAGUUUUCACUCGAGCAUUAAGAUGGCACCUUAUCAAGCUUUGUAUGGACAGAAGUGUCGUACGCCGUCUUGUUGGCUUGAGGCUGGGGAAAAGCAGUUUAUGGGACCGGAGAUGGUUCAUCAAACUGCUGAAAAGUUGAAAAUAAUUAGGGAAAGAAUGUUAGCAGCUCAAGAUCGUCAAAAGAGCUAUGCUGACAAGAAGCGAAGACCGAUGACUUUUGAGGUUGGAGAUUCGGUUUUGCUUAAAGUCUCGCCGUGGAAGGGACUUAUAAGAUUUGGUAAAAGGGGAAAGUUGAGUCCAAGGUUUAUUGGACCGUUUAGAGUCCUUCAGAGGAUUGGGAACCAAGCUUACAAGCUCGAAUUACCCGAAGAACUGAAUGGAAUUCACAACACCUUUCAUGUGUGUUAUUUGAGGAAGUUCACGGGAGAAGUUCCCGAUAUAAUUCCAAUUUCUGAAUUGAGAAUUGAUGAGAACAAAAGGUUGAUUGAAGAACCAGAGGCAAUUGUUGACCGAAAGACUAAGAAGUUGCGACGCAAAAUGGUUGGGUUAGUGCUUGUCCGAUGGAAACACACGAAUGGGCCGAAUCUCACCUGGGAGACGGAGAGUGACAUGUUGAGUCGCUAUCCGCAUUUGUUUGUUGAUGUGUGAUUCCGGGGACGGAAUCAUUCUAAGGUGGGGAGAAUUGUAACGCCUAUGUUUUCGGGCUUGCCAUUUUUAGCAAUGUAAUGGUCUAGGUUAACCUUUGUAACCCGUUUUGAAAUAAUAAGAUUGUAUUAUUUGAGUAUUAUGUGUUUUGUGCUUAAUUGCUUAAUUAUGUGGUUUGAUUAAUUAAGAAUAAAAAUAAGCGUCAAAAUUUAAGUGUAAAAUAAACUUAAUAUAUUUGGUUAAUGUUGUAGUAGUUGAAACGAGGUUUCCGAAUAUAUAUAGAACGCCCAAAUCUGACUUCGUAUGAGGAAGUUAUGAUUUAUCGAAGUUCCGGCUUAGCGAUAUACAGCCUGUUUUACUCGAUUUGAGAUCGAGCGGUUGUUAGCCGAAGCAAUCUAAAUGAGAAUCGAAGAUCUCAUUGUUGGUAUUGAAACGAUAAAAAGUUAGGCGAGAACGGACGUCAAACGAAGAAGUUAUGAAUUUAUAACGAAAGUUUCUGUCCCGGCCUAUUAAAAAUAAUUAAUAAAAAUAAAGUCAAAAUUAGCCGACGGAGUCUAAACGAAAGUCGUAGAGCGUGGUCUCACCUUCGCGUGGAUAUAAAGAACGUCGAAAACGGAGUUCGUAUGAAGAAGUUAUGAAUUUCCGAAGUUUAUUAAUCAUUUUGUAUUUAUAUUUAAAUCAAAAUUCGGAAGCAUUAUCCGAAGGAGUCACCGAUCUGAUCCGAGGUACGCCCCGCGUACUCGAGUACGCCCCGCGUACUCCGAGGGAUGUCGACACUCGCACUCGAGCACUUCGGAUACGUAAGCAAUGACGUUUUGGGCAGUACGCCCCGCGUAACGCAGUACGCCCCGCGUACUCCGAGGCUCCAGCCUCCUAUAAAUAGGAUGCGAGGGUUCCGGGUAUUUUUGCCAAUUCCCUCUCGUUUUCGUGUCGAAGCUCUGUGCAAAAACCCCCGAAGCUACCCCGAAGUCCCGGUAUCAUACUCUAGCCCCGAGGCAAGUCCCGAGAUCCCGAAGAUCCCGAAAAGUGCGGUUCCCGAGUCGAAGCUCUGCCCGCGAGAAGUUCGAUUUUCGAGAAGAUCUUCCAGAUCUGCUGUGGAUUACUACUUCUAUAAGCCGUAGUGCUGUCCGAUCAUCUUCUGAUCAAGUGAGUGUGUAGUUAUUUCUUCUAAUACAAUAAUACGAAGUAUUUUAUAUAAAAAUACGUGCUAUGUGUAUAUAUUUGGUUGUGUUAUGUGUGAAUGAGUAUUCACUCUCUUCUAUCUUAUAGAUCUGCUUAUUUCUUUAUGAGAUAUGUGUUAUGUGUGUGUGUGCCUCAUCUGUUAUGUGAUAUAUGUGUUGAUUAAAGCAUGCUAUACAGGUUUUCUUUAAACUAUGUAUACAAAUGUAUAUUUUUAUCUACUAAUAUGUUGGGUAGAACAUGGGUAGACAGUUGGUGUGUAAUAAACAGAUGAGAGGCCUCGUUGUUGUUUGAUUGAGUCAUCUAGCGGAGUUUAGAUGACGACCACUGGCUAUUCUAGACAGUCUUGUGGAAACAUUAGCAGGUUCGCCACCUGUAGGUGUUAAUGAACUUGGGUGUUCAUUCGCUGUACUCCAUCCCCCUCAUGGUUGCCUUAUUUGACUUAUAUUGCUGAGGUACCCCCGAAGCAUGUGUUGUCGCCCCGAUGAAAUAUUCUUAGACUAGGUCCCUUAUGUUAGUUGAAUUAGGGACAUUAAAGUGAGAAUAACGGGAAUGGGUAAUUGGGUUAUUGUUGGUUGGUGAAAAUUAAAUAUGAUAUUUAUUGUGGGUUGAAAACCCUAUAUGCUCACCAGGCUCCCAAGCCUGACCCACUCAGUUUUAAAUUGUAUUACAGGAAGUGGCGGAAGGGCAUGAGAUGGAUGAUCCAUCAAGUUGUUUUGUUUACAAGUCUGCAUAUGUUUAUAUUUGUUAUAUGACUUGUAAUGUAUUCGUUUAUGCUUAUUGGUCUGUAUCGGAACAUGACACCCCGAGUUUUGAUUAUAAUGAAAAUACAUUUCUUUUAUGAAAUGCUUUGGUAAACAUUGUUUUAUCAUG
rnacentral:lncRNA from 1 species